rnacentral:lncRNA from 1 species
CCGACAUAGCCAAUUUCGAGCUAAAAGCUAAAUCCUUCUCAAACAACCGUAAACUCAAGGAGGAGGAAACAACGGUGUCCGUAGAUAUUGCCGGCGCCGGAGAAGUAGAUGCAGAGGGGUGGCCUACUUGGUUAUCCGCGGGAGAUAGGAGGCUUCUUCAAGGGUCUUCAGUGAGAGCUGAUGCUACUGUGGCUGCUAACGGUAGCGGUAAAUUCAAGACUAUUGCGGCUGCGGUUGCAGCUGCCCCGGAUAAUAGUAAGAGGAGGUAUGUGAUACAUAUAAAAGCUGGUGUUUAUAGAGAGAAUGUGGAAGUGUCGAAGAAGAAAAAGAAUAUAAUGUUUAUGGGAGAUGGUCGGACAAGAACUAUUAUUACUGGAAAUAGAAACGUCGUGGACGGUAGCACCACCUUUCAUUCUGCCACCGUUGGUAAGCAACUUUAUUUAUUUCUUUUUAUUUUUGAAAUAAUAUUUAAAGUAAUUUUGCACGAUGUGGCCCUUCUUUGUGGUGGAAAACCUUUACUCUUUUCAAGUACAUUAAUUAUUCACAUGUAGAUUCUUAGUCGCAGUAGCCACUACAACAUUUGAUUCGCACAUGUAGCCUAGUAACGAGAUAAAAUUAAAUUUGAACUUGAAUUGCCAUAAAUGAACAAAACGCUUUGUAAGGUAUGAGUCAUGUACGAGUCUCGAUCCAUCAUUUUCUUGGCUUUAUUCUUAUGCUUUUCUAGGUCGCUUGUCCUGGAUUGGGUUAAUGGCUCAUCCACUCGUGAGAAGAGCCUUUAACCUUUUGUUUUUUUUGCUUGUUUCAUUGUUGUUGACUUUUCUAUCCGAUCUUGUCCCUUGUUUACAUUUGUUACAUAAUUUCAUUAGAUUACACCUUAGUUAUCCUCACUUUUUUUACUAUACUUUUUCAAUUGUUAUCAUCACAUUUCAAGCUGCAUUUAACUUCUUUUCCGCUUUUUAAAAUAUUUUAUAAGGAGAUAAAAUACAAAUCCUUUAAACUAAAGUGAAUUCCAGCUAAACAAGUCUUAUGUUAUUGUUAUUAGUCCUUUUAGCUAAUGAUUCCGCUAAACUGAAUGAUAUCUUUUUUAUGGGGUCUAGCUGCUGUCGGCGAAAGGUUUCUAGCGCGUGACAUCACUUUCCAGAACACAGCAGGUCCGUCGAAGCACCAAGCGGUGGCUCUCCGUGUCGGUUCUGACUUCUCUGCUUUUUACCAAUGCGAUAUGUUAGCUUACCAAGACACUCUCUACGUCCACUCUAACCGUCAGUACUUUGUCAAGUGCCUCAUCGCCGGAACCGUCGACUUCAUCUUCGGAAAUGCCGCCGUGGUUCUCCAAGACUGUGAUAUCCAUGCUCGCCGACCAAACUCAGGCCAGAAAAACAUGGUCACUGCCCAAGGAAGGACCGAUCCUAACCAGAACACAGGAAUCGUUAUCCAAAGAUGUAGGAUCGGUGCCACGUCGGAUUUGCAGUCCGUGAAAGGUAGUUUCCCGACGUAUCUUGGUCGGCCGUGGAAAGAGUAUUCACAAACAGUGAUCAUGCAGUCGGAUAUCUCGGACGUGAUCCGACCCGAAGGGUGGUCCGAGUGGACUGGGACUUUUGCGUUGAACACUUUGACUUAUAGAGAGUAUGCGAAUAAAGGAGCAGGGGCUGGAACUGCAAGGAGAGUGAAGUGGAGGGGCUUUAAAGUUAUCACGGCUGCUUCUGAAGCUCAGAGAUAUACUGCUGGUCAAUUUAUUGGUGGUGGAGGCUGGUUAGGUUCGACCGGUUUUCCUUUCUCUCUCGGUCUUUGAGAUAUUAUUGUUGUGAAGUGUUGUAACCUACAUAUUGUUGGUCGAAUAAUUAUAAAUUUUAUCAAUAAAUAAAAUGUGUAUGUGCUGUGUAUUUUCAUAUCUUUUCUAGAUCCUAGUAUUGGAGAUUAGUUGAGAUUGAUCACCAAUUGAUUCUUAUACGAAUUAUUGAGUUUAAAAAUUAUUUUAGCUUUCUGAAUUUUUCGAACCCGUCCAUUAUCUGAAUUUCCCACUGUAUUUUUUUUGUCAAGAACAUGUUUAUUUUAGGUCAAGAACAUAAUUUUGAAUCAAGAACAUGUUGGGUAUCUGGAUUAUCAAUUCAUGUUUCUUUCAUGUGGUUAUGUGGUUAUAGUUUUAAUUCACGAAACAUAUAUCCCUAAUAUAUUUUAAGUUUAUUAAAAAAAAAUUAAAACGAACGUUUAAACGUUGUAAAAUGAAAUCACAAAUCUACUAAUAAUAGCAAUCCCAAUUAAUUUUAAAGGUUGUGUGCUUUUAUAAAAAAUUCAAUUUUUGUUAAUAGUUGUGUUUGUUCACUUAGGUGUCUUUUGAUUAAAGGUUGUAUCUCUUCAAUAUGAAACUACUGUAAAACUUUAUGAAUAAAUGUGAGAGUUAUUACUGCACAAAAGGAGACAAACACCACACCAAUGUUGGUCGAAUAAAUGAGUUCCCAAGUACGUUAGGAUACGCUUUAUGUAUUAAGAGUCGUAAUCUGUUAUUAAGUUAAUUAUUCAUUUAGAGUCAUGAGAAAGAAGAGACACAAUACUUUACGGAAGAGACACAACUCUUAAGGAAGAGACACAACUCUUUGUCUAGUAUAUUACAAUGAUAAACUAAAUAUUUAUAUAUCAUUGAAUUGAUUUUUUAUUCACAAUUUGUUUCCUUACAUCAUCACUAUUUGCAGUCAGCUUAAAAUGAGUUCUUAUAAUACUACAACUUAGUUCGCAAAUACAUACAGUACUCAAGCAUGUAACGCCAACCGGAUCAUAUGAUUUUCUUUUUCUCAACUUCGAAUUUCAUUCAACGACAACGAGAGUUUUUUUAUCUCAUAAGAAAUUCAACCACAAAACAAAAAAGAAAUCUAGUAUCACUGAGGAUCAUGUACGCUACCCAUCAAUCUUCACUGUCCUCUUACAACCACUAAGUGAACGAUUCACUCUAUGACACAGAAUGAACCGUUUCUUAAACCAUCCAAUUCAACUACAAAAUAAUCAUUAAUCCGAGAGAAAACAAAGCUAAAUCAGGAUUACCAAUUUCUAUCCGAUAUUAUUGGUGGCAGUUUGAUUGGAGUGGUAUUCAUGUACCAACAACUUGCACACCAAAGGCACAUAUUCAGAGUCGACUACUAACCACUGGAAAGCAAUGUCUCGAUUCUUGGCCCGCAAAGCAAAACCGAAAGUCCAUAACGAAAAAAAUGGGCUUUGACGAUAGCAACAUACCGGUUCACCAAAUCUUUCAAGCUUCCAGAGGUGUCAUCACGCCGGACAAACCAAUUUGAUACAAUAUGAUUUGCAUCUCGUCUCGAAACUAUUCAGUUUUAGUUUUGAAUAUUUUCCAAGUAAGAUAUUUUAGUUAAUUUAGUGGUGAAUAUAAAUAUUCAUGGAAGACUACAUGCAUAUAAGAGCUUCUUUAUUGGUAGUAUAUAGACUGAUAUCUAAUCGAUAAAGAAAAUAAAAUUAAAUAAAAAAUAAGAGAAUGAAACACCAAAAGUUAUGAGCAAGAGCUAAUUUUUUUCUGUAGACAGAGAAGUAGAGAGACAAAGUAGAUCUAGUUGGUCCCGGCGUAAGGCAGGCGCGUGCGCGAGCGUGUCGUCGUCGGGACCGGAGUCCGUCCUUUUAAAAGCUUCCUAGUGUCUCUUCUCCGUAUCCUCUCCACUUUUGCCUUGUCUGAACUGUGACUCCGGCCUAUUCCAUGAUGCAUGGCGGUUUGUUGUUUGGAGUGAAGACGCGAUCGUGGAGAAGGUCUUAUGCGGUGGAGAGGUACCUCGUUUAGAUAAAGGUUAGACUACGGGAGGGGGAGGCUUUUACAGCUCUGUCAUCGCCGGUAUUCUCCGGGAGGUGGAGACUCAUUUUGCUCCGCCGCUGCCGGUUCAGUGUUUCGAGAGGGGGAGGCUUACCUAACUCUGCCGUCGUCGUAUAGUCUCCGGAGAGUGGAGGCUAACACAGCUCUACGCUGCCGGCUUGAAACCCGUAGGAAUUUUGGGUGUUAGCGGUUUAAGUUUGGUUUGGGAUACACUGAAAUUCUCAUAGAGAAGAGAUCUCUGAAGAAGAUUGAGCUUUUCGUGGAUGUUAUCACCGACAAGAAAAGAUAGUUCAGGUCGUGGGUGGUCCUAAUGAGAGCGCAGUGAGUCCGAUGACGCUUUUGAUGGAGGACCACCGGAGAUGAAGACAGUUGUUGCGAGGGGUAAGGGCCGGCGAAAGGAAGGUCCGAUGAGGGGUUCUGGUGGCGUUUCAAGGCGGAGAUGAUCAGGUUGAGGCGAUGUGCGACGCGUGUCGAUCCGAGGGCGUAGAUGCUACCACGUGGCAUGCAGCCAGCCUCCUUGAUGCGAGUAUCCCAGCCGAUGUCGGUCGGGUUUAUGUGAUUUGGGCUGUGGGCCCGUUUAAAGUUUUUAGAGAGUAGCCGGUAAGUUUUUGGGCUUCUGGACCUUUUGAUGUUGCAAUUGGAACGUCAGUUAUGUAUUAUGGGCUUAGCCCGGAUUAUUAUUAAUUAAAAAAAAAUCACUUGGCGGAAAAAAAGAAAAACACCAAAAGUUCUAAGAACCUCUACCGAAACUGUGAGACCACCUGUCUCUUUUCCAAUGGUAAAUGUUUAGGUAAAAUAAAUAAAUUAAUUUACAUAACUAACAUGCAUUUAAAUAAUGAUUUUUGAGUGGUAAAAACUCCAAAUGAGCAUCCCCGGCGUUGGUUAUGCUCUAACUGUUAUUCAUUACCCUACUUUAAUAUGUCACAUCAGUUUUUUUGCCGCAUCAUCUUUUUUUUUCAUAUCUCUUUUUAUCACAUAAUAAUUAAUUCAAUAAAUACUUAAAUUUAAAUCAACUAGAACUUUUGUUUUAAAAAUAUCAUUAUAUCCAUCUAUUUUAAUUCAUCAAAAACUUUUAUUAAAAUAAACAAUUAUCAAAUCUAAGUCAUUUUAAAAUAAUCGAUAAUUUGAACUUUAAUAUUCAAAAAUAAAUAAGAAUUAAGAAUGUAGAAUUUAUUUUUAAAAUCCCAUUUUUAGAGAUAGAAUAAUUUCUUAAAAAAUUAAUUAGAAAUUAACAAAUCAUAUGUACGAAUAAAUAUAACAAACCUCUAUUUAUAAAAUAAAAUAAAAAUGAUGAAUUUUUAUAUAAAAUAGUUUAAUGAAUAAAUUAUUUUGUUACAAAAUAAUUGAGAUUAAAUAGUUAGGGUGUAUAAAAAAUGAAUUCAAUUUUAAUAAUAAAUAACAUGAUGAUACGUUACUUUUGUGGACCCUACUUUAUGGUAUUCAACUAGUUGAAAAAAUUCAACUCUAAUUAUUCCACCUAAGUUUUUUUGGUUUUUCAAUAUUUUCAUUACAAGCUUUCAACAGUUGAAUAAUUUAUUCAACUAAAUCAUUGUAAAUGGUCUAAAAUUUCAAAUUAGAUCAAGAGCCAGCUCUGACAUAGAUUAGAGGAAGCUUGUGCUGUAGAUGACAAAUAAGGAUAAAAUAUUGCAAGGACAUCCAAUUAACCAACAUGCAACUUGGUGUGACGUAAAAUCAACAUGUUUUCCACUUUUAGUAAGGUUCUAGCUUGACCCAUCUAUUCUAUUAAUUUAAAGUUAUUUUUUUUAUCUAAUUAUAAAUGUUGUCAUUUAAAUUUGGACCUAUUCAUAUCUCACUAAGAAUAGAUAUCAAUCCCACUAUAUAAAAGAAGCUAUUUUUAAGCUUCCUAAAGCUAUCCACAUGGUCAAAAUAAUCAGGACCAAUCAAAGUGCCAUGUCAUUGUGGACUAGGCUUGGAUACAAAAAUUAAGUUAACCUUUGCAGCCCAUUUAAACCAUUUCGCAGCCCAACCUAAAAUCUAAUUCUCAAAAAUCUAAAAAUCACUCAUCCUCCCCCUAACCUAAACGCCGUCUCAUAAUGGUUUCCAGAAGCUGAUAAGAUCAAAGAUUCAACUAGACAAAGCAAGCAGCUUGAGGAACCAAAAGUUAUGGAUUGGCGUUGUUUUAUCGGCUUUUUCAGUUCAAGUUUAUUUUGUGAAGAAGAGUAUUUGUUGCUUGGGUCAUCUUCUUGCAUUUUCAUGCGAUUGAGUUUGUAAGUCUCAGAAGCAUCUUUACGGUUUGUUUUCUGAUGGAAUGUACUGUUUCAUAAUUGCAAUGCGUACUUCUUUUCAUUAUAUAUGGAUGAGAUGAGAUGUGACCGAAUAAAUUUCGAAACAUGAUUCAAUUAUCUCCAUAUUUAUUAUGUGUGAUUCAUGCCAGAUUGGUUAAAGACAUUGACUGUGAAGCUCUCCUGAAUUUUAAGUAAGCAAUUAAAUGACUAUAAACAAUUUGUGGUCUGAUUUAUUAUAUGCUAAAUUUUAUACAUAUGAACUUAGUAAAUAGUUCUUUUUUUUGCCACUGAGGGGACAUAGACAACAUGGGAGCAGAAAUAAAUGUUACCCUCAUCUCAGAGGCUAGGGGUUCCUCAACGAUUCUUUGGUGUGGUAAGAUACUUUUCUUUAAAAGUUACUUGGAGUCACUAUAGUUGGAAUCACAUUAUUAUUUCCUAAAGUUAGAUGCUUAUGUCGUCAUUACAUAUGUUUCUUUUAAAUUGAUAACCUCUUACUUUUCAUCCCUAAAGCUUAGAAUCUGGGCCUUUAGAGGAUAUUCAGAAUCGGAUACAUGAUGCGCUGGAGGAAUUUGCAAUAACGGGUAAUUGCCACAUUAGCACUUAUUUUUAAGCAUCUGACACUAUUUUGGUGGCGUAUAUAAGUUAAAAGAUAGUGAAUUAUUUUCCAACAUUUGUAGCCAAUAAUGACUUAGAUCUCAUACAAGAAAGGAAAUGCCAACUUGGACUUUUCAGGUGGCUCUUAUAUCUAUGUCUCUCGAAAGACAUGUCUCUUAGCUGGAACAGAGGAUGUGCACUUAGGUUAUAAAUUAUAGGACUGGGCCGAGGGAUAGGCCGCAACGUUGGGUUUGGAGGAUUGCAAGGAGAAUGUUGACAGAGAUGGUGGCGAUGACAUAAGUUAAAAUGGCGGUAAAGAGAAGAAACAUGUGGUGUUGGACUCCAACAAAAGUUAACUAUUUUAGGAUGUUUUUUAACCAGUAUUCAACUUUUGAGCAGCCACUGAUCGAUAUGUGUAAAAGCGAAAUCGUAGACCUGUGUAUGUGAAAGAGAAAAAAAUAAGCAGUUGAAGAAUCAGGUGAAAAAAUAAGGGAUACUUUUAUGCAACGAUUGUUAUUUUCAGAUCAGCUUUCUCUAUUUGUAGCAGAGAAUAUAAAGACAAAUAAGUUUUGAAAUAGUGGCCAUUUUUAGUGUAGAGAAACAAACAUUCGUUGUCAUCAUCGUAUGAGUUUUUAUUUUUGAUCAGAAAAAGAGAGAAAAUAACAUUUGAGGUCAUCAUUGUGAAAUCCAAUUAGGAUUUCUCCUCUGUUUUUGGGGAUUGUUAUGAAACUAGGGUAUGCUUCUGAUUUUCAUAGCUCUCUUUAAAUCUUUAAAAAAUUAUUCUAAGCUUCAAAACAAGAAACACUGCAGUUUUAGUGUGCAUAAUUGUUUGCUUGGUGACAUAUUCUUUGAUUGUUUUGGGCUGAAAUAUAAACCCAACAUAUUGUGUUGUUCCAUUUAGUUAGGUAAUUAUAUAUAUGUUUUACGAUGUUAUCGUUGCAACUAUGUUGAAACUAAGAAUGAGAUAUUUGAUUAGAUAGGAAUUAUAUACUUUCAUUCAAUACAGCCAACAUUAAAAAGACUAAAGGAUUUAGUUAUUUCUUUAAGAAAUUUUUUUUUUUCAGAAAACAUUUAUAAGCAGUCUGGUUCAUCUUAAUUUUCAGAUUAUUAAUGGUUAUACUACAUUUAAUUUUUUUUUUAUGUUUGGUUCACUCAAAGUAAAUUAUUUAAUAAGAUAGGGUAUAAAACUCAAGUAAAAUUAUGUUAGAACUAUAAUAAUUUGUUAAUUUAUAACACUAUUAAUCUAUAAAAUAUUUUCAAAUAGUAUGAGCAAAAUUUUCAACAAAUUGUUUUUAUAAAAAAGUUCAACAAAUGCUUAAAAUAAUUUACAAAAAUAAUUAGUAAAACACUAAAAAUUAAAGAAAAUUUUAUUAUAAAUUAAAAAUCUAAUAUAAAAUAAAACAAAUAUAUAUUAUAAAACAUCAUUUGUUGUUACAUAAUACAUACUAAGACAAUAUUGAAAAUAUUUGUAUAUUACUUAAAUUAUAAAUUUUAAUAAUUUUAUCACAUUACAUUUGAUUUUCAAUUGAUUUAGUUUGGAGGUGGGUGUAGUAAUUUAUUAUCGUGAGAAAUUAGUUAUUAUAAUAAUAUUAAAAUCUGAUACUCUUAAAAAUAUGAAAAAUAUUAAUUAUUCUUACUUUAAUUUUUUUCAAAUAUAUCAAAUUGAAACAGAAAUCAAAUAGAAAUAUAAAUCAUUACAUUUUCUUUAGUUUUCUGAUUUAAUAAUUUUGUAUUCUUUAACAAAACAAUUUUAGUGGUUUUUCACUUCAAACCAACAAAAUUUAGCGAAGUUUAAAAUAUAAUUUUAGAAUAAAAACAUAUAAUACUUAUUAUUUUCAAUAUAAAGUAAAAUUUCAAAUAUUUUGUAAAAUUAAAAUACAAUACACUCAAACAUAAAAUAAUUUUAGUGCAAAUUCACCCGCCCGUAGGGCGGGCCAAACCCCUAGUACAUUUAAAAUUAGAUAUUUUUAAGUUCCCUUAAUUUACUUUCAAUAUAUUAAAAAUGUGUCACUCCUAUUUUUAUGGUUAACAACAUUAAUUUCAUCCUAAUUACUAUACAUCCGUAAAACAUUCACUAUUUAUUUUCAUUUAAAACUAUGGACAUUUCAUUGCACUUAAUUGUUUCUUAUUUACUCAUUUUAAAAUUUCGAAAGCCUAAUAGAGUUGUUUUAGUUGUGGUGCGUCAGAAAUAUACAACAACAUUGCUUGGAAUUUGACUAUUAAUAUGAAUUUAUGAUUGAUAAAUUAUAGUUAUACAACUAUAUGAUUUUUAUAAUAUAAUUAACCUUAAUAUUUUCAUAGCUAUAGUGAUAUAUAAAUAUAUAGUUGCUAUAUUAUAUGAUUUUAAUUAAACAUAUUUUACUCAGAUGUGGACUAACAUAUUAUAUCAUCAUUUCUAAAAUGGUUAGUUAUACUAUAAAACUAUAUACUAAAUAUAUUGUAAACUAAAUUAAUUUAAAAAAUGUAUUGUAUACAAAAAUAAUAUUUAAUAAAAAAAGUAAAAUAUAUAAAUUAGAUCAAUAUAUAUUUAAGAAAUCUAAACAAUAAAGUUACACAAUAUAUAAAACUAAAAUGUAAAUUUAAUAUCAAAAUUAUACAUUUAUAAAAGAAAAAAAAUAUCCGCGCAGACGUGCGGGUUCAAACUCUAGUUAUAGUUUUAUAAUAGUGGUCUGAAUAUGGAGUCUAAGAUUAUGAAGAGUGGAAAUAUAUAAUUUUGAUACACUGAAAUUCUCAUAGAGAACAAAAAACAUGAAUAGUAUACUCUUUACAUCAAGAAGAUGCAAAAUAAAUAUGAAUUAUUUUGAUAAAAUUCUAUAACUGUUCUCAUAAGUGGAAUAUGUAAGUUUUGUUGCAUCCUCCACCACAACAAUGAUAAUGAUGCAAUCGUCAACCAAAAACCUUCAAAUAACCAUGCAUCUCAAACCAAAAAUGUGAAUCAUGAAUAUAAAGCACAUAUUAAAAAGGAAAACAUUCCGCAUUUACAGCAGAAAAGGUGUGAUGUCAACACCAUUGCAAAAUUACAGAAACACUUUUGUCUAAACAUCUUAGGACUCUUAUGCAAUGUUUACAAAUAAAAAAGCAUAUCUCACAUUAUGCAAUUGAUUUAUAUGUAAAUUUUAUUAUAUAAUUGACAUCAUAUCAAUAAUUUGUAUGAAAUAAGUAAAUUUGAUCAACACGACUAAAGUCCAUACUUGUACUUUGCACUUUAUUUGAUAUUUUUUUCCUUUUCUUUUGCUUGGUUUAUGCACAGUAUUUUUUUUCUUCCAUUAUUUCUAUUUUUUUUUACUGAUUGUUUGAUGUAGCUUUCAUCUAAAAGAAUUUUAUUUACAAAAACUGUAAGUGCUUAUAAGCUAUAUAUACACAUUUAUCAAAACUGUUAUUUAUUUUUGGUUCCAAAUGCCUUCGACUUUGCUUUUCUGUACGUCAAUUUAAAUUUUUGUUUACUUUAGUCUUGGUUCUUUAGAUCAACUAAUUCCUUCUUACUCAUAUAAUUGUAAUUUUCGUUCGGUUUGGUUUUGUUUUUAUUCAAUUUAAUUUCUGGUUUACUUUAGUGUUGGUUCAUUAGAUUCCUUCUUACUCAAAUCAUUUUUUCAUUCGGUUUGGUUCUAAUCGAGUUAUUUUGUUAAUUUUGAGAAUUCAAACUUAUGUCUAAUAGAGCAUUACAAAUUUGUAACACAACUUGUUCACGGUAUCCAAAUAAUUGACAUCACAUUAUGCAAUUGAUUUAUAUGUAAAUUUUAUUAUAUAAUUGACAUCAUAUCGAUAAUUUGUAUGAAAUAAAUAAAUUUGAUCCACACGACUAAAGUCCAUACUUGUACUUUGCACUUUAUUUGAUAAUUUUUUCCUUUUCUUUUGCUUGGUUUAUGCACAGUAUUUUGUUUCUUCCAUUAUUUCUAUUUUUUUUACUGAUUGUUUGAUGUAGCUUUCAUCUAAAAGAAUUUUAUUUACCAAAACUGUAAGUGCUUAUAAGUUAUAUAUACACAUUUAUCAAAACUGUUAUUUAUUUUUGGUUCCAAAUGCCUUUGACUUUGCUUUUCUGUACGUCAAUUUAAAUUUUUGUUUACUUUAGUCUUGGUUCUUUAGAUCAACUAAUUCCUUCUUAGAGCAUCUCCAAAAAGGAACUCUAUUUUGAAGUUUCCAAAACUCUAUAUUUGAAGUUUCAAUGUGUUCUUCUCCAAAAGUAAAACUUUAAACCUAACUUCAAAACUAUUUAUAUUUUAUACUAUGGUCCUUAUAUUUGUCAUAGUUAAUGUAAAUUCUUAAAACUUCUAUAAAUAACUAGUAUAUAUAUAUAUAAAUAUUACAGAAAUAUUAAUUAAAAAAUCUUACACUAAUAAACAUUUUAAUAAGUUUUUAUUAUGGUUUUUUGUAAUAUUUUUGUUGUUUAAUCCUAGUUUUAAAAUAUUGUAAAUCUUGUUUUAAAUUUUUUAUUUAAUUUCAUGUGUAAAACUUAAAUUUAUAAAACAAAUUUGAAAUAUAUAUGAGAUAUAAAAGUUAUAAAGAUUAAAACAAUAAACAAAAAUAUAUUUAAGAAUUAUAAAUAUGAUGUAUAAUUGUAAGGACCAAAAUGUAAAUAAAAAGAUGAAACUUUAAAUUUGAAGUUUUGAAAAGUGAAACUCUAUAUUUGGAGUUUCACUCUUCAAAACUUCAAAUUUGAAGUUUUGAAGUUUCUUUUUGGAGAGCAAAAAACUCUAUAUUUAGAGUUAUAGAGUUUCUUUUGGAGAUGCUCUUACUCAUAUAAUUGUAAUUGUCGUUCGGUUUGGUUUUGCUUUUAUUCAAUUUAAUUUCUGGUUUACUUUAGUGUUGGUUCAUUAGAUUCCUUCUUACUCAAAUCAUUUCUUCAUUUGGUUUGGUUCUAAUCAAGUUACUUUGUUAAUUUUGAGAAUUCAAACUUAUGUCUAAUAGAGUAUUACAAAUUUGUAAACAACUUGUUCAGGGUAUCCAAAUAAUCGAAAUUGUAACUUGGGAGACUAAUUCUAAAAUCACAUAUAUUUCCAAAGACAUCGAUAUAUACUCAGUUCCAGUUUAUAAGCUGUACGUUAGUUUUUUCUCCGGUUAUAGUAGUGUAGUCAUGCAUACCAUGCAUACCUGCAUGUGUGAUAUGUCUUACUGACGUCAGAAUUCUUUAACUUAGAACAUGCAACCUAGGUGAAUUCUUUUACUUCGUAUUCUUUUACUUAGACUAUAUUAUUAUUUUCUGUAUUAAAAAGUCAUAUUUUUCUUUUAGAUAUUAAUAUUAAUUUCACGAAUAACAGCAACUUAUACAAAAUAUAGAAGUUUCAAGGCAAAGGCAACGCAUGUUCUGGUUAGACUUGUCUUCGGAAAAUAUCAAAACCUAAUACAAGAAUACAAAUUUGGGAACAAGACAAUAGUACUUCUGUGGUACUCAAAUAACUAGAAUAAUAUUCUCUUUAAGAAAAAAUCUUAUCUUCUGUUAACGUGGCGGCUUAUAACAUGUGUUUUUUCACCAAAUUUACACUCAAAUAAUAAAAUAAAAAGAAGUAAGAAGAAAAAUAAAAUAAAAGCCGUUAAAAUAAAUAUCGUUUCUGAUUUUAAUUUCAUCAAUAUAAUUAACACCCCACUCUUCACAGGAACAUUCACCACUCUCACUCAUCAGUGUCAAACAAUGGCAUCAUCUAUCAACGAAAUAUUCUCCAAAGAUAAUUUCAAGAAAAACAAGAAACUUGUUUUACUAUCAGCUGCCGUAGCAUUGCUCCUCGUGGCUGCCGUCACCGGAAUCGCCGCCGGAGCUUCAAAAGCCAACGGAAACAGAAAAGAACCUCUAUCACCGUCCUCUCACGCCGUGCUAAGAUCCGCUUGCAGCUCCACGCUGUACCCUGAGCUCUGCAUCUCCGCCGUGGCCACGUCUGGCGGCGUCAAACUGACGUCGCAGAAAGACGUCAUUGAGGCCUCGCUUAACCUAACAACAACCGCCGUGGAACACAAUUAUUUCACCGUGAAGAAACUGAUCAAGAACAUGAAAGGACUGACUCCACGUGAGAAGACGGCGCUUCAUGACUGUUUGGAGACUAUUGAUGAGACCCUUGAUGAGCUUCAUGAGACAUUAGAAGAUCUCCAAAUGUAUCCUAACAAGAAAACUCUGAGGGAACACGCCGGUGAUCUCAAAACCCUAAUAAGCUCUGCCAUUACCAACCAGGAGACUUGUCUCGAUGGAUUCUCUCAUGAUGAUGCUGACAAGAAAGUUCGUAAGUUCUUGUUGAAGGGUCAGGUAUGUAAAAACAUCCAUUCUUUACCCAUUACGGCUAUCAUGUGGAAUUGCAUAAUAACUAAAUAUAAAUACGUGAAAUGUAUAAGAUAAGAUCAGUAUGAAAAAAAUUGAUUUAAUUUAAAAUUUUCAAAUGUGGACCGAUAAAAUGCAUUUGUUUUGGUUCAAUAAAUUUAGUAUGGAAUCUGAAAUGGCUCAACAUAACGUCACUAUUCUGUUAUUUCAUCGCGGGGUUACGAAUGAAUGCGAUGAAACAAAAAUUAUAGAUAACAAGAAAACUAAAUAAAUCACACAUCGCAUCACAUUACUUUGACAAUUCUCUAUGUUUUUUUGUCACAAUACAAUUCUCUAUAUUUUUAUUGGUAUUUACUUUCUGAUAAUGAAAUGUUGUUAGCUAGUGCCUAGUGUUGGUAGAAAUAGUUGCUAUCAGUUGCUAUUGGAGUGUAUUUCAUUCUAAAAAUUUGUGAUAACAUGAUUAUUUUUAAUAGGCAUGUGCAUUUUACCGGGACCCAAAAAUCUGAUCCAGAACCGACCGAAAAUACCCAAUCUGAAAACGAACAAAAAGUUUACAAAUACCUAUUAGAUCUAAAAUUUCUCUACCGGAAGAACCAUAACCGAAAAAACCGACCGAAUAGACCCGGAUCCGAAAAGAACUGAUCUAAAUAGACCCGUCCCGAUAAGAACCGAUUCAUACCCGAUUUAAAACAUGAAUACUCAAACUAUGAUUUUUUGUAUUCUAUUUUCCAUAUUUUAUUUUUAUGAGUUAGUUGAAAAUACUUUUUUUGUUUUUUUUUUUGAAAAAAAAAUAAUUUUUUUUGUUAACAAUCUUUGUUAUUUUUUGUAGCAUUUUUCAAGUAAUACGAUGUUUUAAAUGUAGAAUUUAAAGUUUAAAAAUGUUUUAUUUUAAUUAUUAGUUAAAUUAUUUUUGUAAAAUUUUAGAUAUAUGACAUAUUUUAACUAAAUUUGAUGGGGUUAGGGUAUUGUAUGUUUUUUUUAGAUCAUAAAUAUCCGAACCUAAUCUAGACUCAAAAAUUACAGGUAUUUUAUAGACACCAAACUGACCCAAACCCGUAAAAAACCAAUCCAAACCAAAAAUUUACAAAUACCUAUUGGAUGAAAUUUCUAGGACCCAAAAGAAAUUGGUCCAAACCGGACCAGAAAGCCCAAAUCGAGCAGAACUUCGACUGAUCUGAACCCGUAGAACUGAACUAAUUCCGGACAGCAUCCCCACUUGAUCGUCACAGGAACUGAGUGGCCUGGACGAAUUCAGUUGGACACCGCCCUAGCAAUGAUCAAGAACAUGACUGAUACCGACAUAGCCAACUUCGAACUAAAAGCUAAAUUGUCCUCAAACAACCGUAAACUCAAGGAGGAGAAGACUCCGGAGGCCGUAGAUAUUGCCGGCUCCGGAGAAUUAGACGCCGAGGGGUGGCCUACUUGGUUAUCCGCGGGAGAUAGGAGGCUUCUUCAAGGGUCUUCAGUGAGAGCCGAUGCUACUGUGGCUGCUAACGGUAG